AUGAAUUGCCUAAGUUGGAACUGCCGGGGAGGGGGGAACACCCGGACAGUUCGCGAGUUAGCGGCGUUGUGUAAGUCGCGUUCCCCCAUGAUUGUCUUUCUGUGUGAAACCAGGCAAAAGGAGGAGAACAUGAAGAGGGUCCGAGCCAAGUUGGGCCUUAAGGGUUUUUGUGGAGUGGAUAGUGAUGGUUUGAGUGGUGGUUUGGCCUUGUACUGGAGUGAAGAAUGUGUGGUAAACAUUUUGGAAAAGGAUGAUAGAUUCAUUGAUAUAGCUAUUAAGGUCCGUGAGGGUGCGCCGGAAUGGAGAGCUACCUUUGUGUAUGGAGAGCCACGGGUGGAAAACAGACACGUAAUGUGGGCUAAGUUACGGAGACUGAAAACUACUAAUAAUCUGCCAUGGUUGGUAAUUGGAGACUUUAACGAAGCUAUGUGGGACUUUGAGCACUUUUCGAUCACACCACGAGCGGAAGCGCAGAUGGUAGCCUUCAGGGACAUGUUGGAGGUGUGUGAGCUUGUGGAUCUUGGGUUCACAGGCCUCCCGUUCACUUAUGAUAAUAGACGGGGCAGAUCAUCUAAUGUUAAGGUGAGACUCGAUCGGGCAGUGGCCACAAAUGAUUGGCGCAAUUUGUUCGCCUUUGCUGCAGUAGAGCAUAUACCAUCUCCAUGCUCUAAUCAUCUUGCGGCGUUUCUUAAGGGAGAGCCGGACCCUGGCCCGGUGAGGGGGAGGUGUAGACGAUACAAAGUUUUUUGGGAACGGGACUCAGCCUUGCCAAAGGUGGUGGAAGAUGCAUGGGGAGCUGUAGGUGUGAUCCAGAACCUCUCACAAUUGAGAGAAGCCCUAUCUAAAACCAUGACAGUUUUAGGGUCGUGGAGCAAUUUGGCAAUGUGA
rnacentral:rRNA from 1 species